rnacentral:rRNA from 1 species
GACGAACGCUGGCGGCGUGCUUAACACAUGCAAGUCGAACGGAAAGGCCCUGCUUUUGUGGGGUGCUCGAGUGGCGAACGGGUGAGUAACACGUGAGUAACCUGCCCUUGACUUUGGGAUAACUUCAGGAAACUGGGGCUAAUACCGGAUAGGAGCUCCUGCUGCAUGGUGGGGGUUGGAAAGUUUCGGCGGUUGGGGAUGGACUCGCGGCUUAUCAGCUUGUUGGUGGGGUAGUGGCUUACCAAGGCUUUGACGGGUAGCCGGCCUGAGAGGGUGACCGGCCACAUUGGGACUGAGAUACGGCCCAGACUCCUACGGGAGGCAGCAGUGGGGAAUAUUGCACAAUGGGCGGAAGCCUGAUGCAGCAACGCCGCGUGCGGGAUGACGGCCUUCGGGUUGUAAACCGCUUUCGCCUGUGACGAAGCGUGAGUGACGGUAAUGGGUAAAGAAGCACCGGCUAACUACGUGCCAGCAGCCGCGGUGAUACGUAGGGUGCGAGCGUUGUCCGGAUUUAUUGGGCGUAAAGGGCUCGUAGGUGGUUGAUCGCGUCGGAAGUGUAAUCUUGGGGCUUAACCCUGAGCGUGCUUUCGAUACGGGUUGACUUGAGGAAGGUAGGGGAGAAUGGAAUUCCUGGUGGAGCGGUGGAAUGCGCAGAUAUCAGGAGGAACACCAGUGGCGAAGGCGGUUCUCUGGGCCUUUCCUGACGCUGAGGAGCGAAAGCGUGGGGAGCGAACAGGCUUAGAUACCCUGGUAGUCCACGCUGUAAACGGUGGGUACUAGGUGUGGGGUCCAUUCCACGGGUUCCGUGCCGUAGCUAACGCUUUAAGUACCCCGCCUGGGGAGUACGGCCGCAAGGCUAAAACUCAAAGGAAUUGACGGGGCCCCGCACAAGCGGCGGAGCAUGCGGAUUAAUUCGAUGCAACGCGUAGAACCUUACCUGGGUUUGACAUGGAUCGGGAGUGCUCAGAGAUGGGUGUGCCUCUUUUGGGGUCGGUUCACAGGUGGUGCAUGGCUGUCGUCAGCUCGUGUCGUGAGAUGUUGGGUUAAGUCCCGCAACGAGCGCAACCCUUGUUCACUGUUGCCAGCACGUUAUGGUGGGGACUCAGUGGAGACCGCCGGGGUCAACUCGGAGGAAGGUGGGGAUGACGUCAAGUCAUCAUGCCCCUUAUGUCCAGGGCUUCACGCAUGCUACAAUGGCUGGUACAGAGAGUGGCGAGCCUGUGAGGGUGAGCGAAUCUCGGAAAGCCGGUCUCAGUUCGGAUUGGGGUCUGCAACUCGACCUCAUGAAGUCGGAGUUGCUAGUAAUCGCAGAUCAGCAACGCUGCGGUGAAUACGUUCCCGGG